rnacentral:rRNA from 1 species
AUUGAACGCUGGCGGAAUGCUUUACACAUGCCAGUCGAGCGGCAGCACGGGGGCAACCCUGGUGGCGAGCGGCGAACGGGUGAGUAAUACAUCGGAACAUGCCCAGUCGUGGGGGAUAACACUUCGAAAGAAGUGCUAAUACCGCAUACGUCCUGAGGGGGAAAGCGGGGGAUCGCAAGACCUCGCGCGAUUGGAGUGGCCGAUGUCAGAUUAGCUAGUUGGUGGGGUAAAGGCCUACCAAGGCAACGAUCUGUAGCUGGUCUGAGAGGAUGAUCAGCCACACUGGGACUGAGACACGGCCCAGACUCCUACGGGAGGCAGCAGUGGGGAAUUUUGGACAAUGGGGGCAACCCUGAUCCAGCCAUUCCGCGUGAGUGAAGAAGGCCUUCGGGUUGUAAAGCUCUUUCGGCAGGAACGAAACGGUGAGCUCUAACAUAGCUUGCUAAUGACGGUACCUGAAGAAGAAGCACCGGCUAACUACGUG